UACGUAGGGUGCGAGCGUUAAUCGGAAUUACUGGGCGUAAAACGUGCGCAGGCGGUUUUGUAAGCCAGAUGUGAAAUCCCCGGGCUUAACCUGGGAAUGGCAUUUGGGACUGCAAGGCUUGAGUGCGGCAGAGGAGACUGGAAUUCCUGGUGUAGCGGUGAAAUGCGUAGAUAUCUGGAGGAACACCGGUGGCGAAGGCGGCGAUCCUGGACCGGUAUUGACGCUGAGGCGCGAAAGCUAGGGGAGCAAACGGGAUUAAGAU
rnacentral:rRNA from 1 species